AAACAAGCCGAUGAAACCUUAAAAAAUGCGAAAUUUAAGUUGUAGAGCUUUUGCGUUUUCUAUUUUAAGUCUAUUAUUAUUUUUUUUUAACUUUAAUCAUUCGAUUAUUGUAGCCGGUAGCAGCUCUAGAGUCUUUAGCCCCCCGAGCGAAAUUUUUGUUGCGCCGUCUCGAGUCGUCAGUUUCGAUAGUGAGCUCCGCUCGAUAGUAUGUUGCGCCGGCCCUGAGUUAUCUAUUCUAGUUCAUAAAAAAAUUUCCCUUCAAAUAAUCCUCUUUUCGUAUUUGGCGACUCGUAUUUAAAAAGUUUGAAACUUACGUUCAACUGGAU
rnacentral:lncRNA from 1 species